AUUGAACGCUGGCGGCAGGCCUAACACAUGCAAGUCGAGCGGAUGAAGGGAGUUUGCUCCUGGAUUCAGCGGCGGACGGGUGAGUAAUGCCUAGGAAUCUGCCUGGUAGUGGGGGAUAACGUCCGGAAACGGGCGCUAAUACCGCAUACGUCCUGAGGGAGAAAGUGGGGGAUCUUCGGACCUCACGCUCUCAGAUGAGCCUAGGUCGGAUUAGCUAGUUGGUUGGGUAAAGGCCUACCAAGGCGACGAUCCGUAACUGGUCUGAGAGGAUGAUCGGUCACACUAGAGCUGAAACACGGUCAAGACGCCUAAGAGAGGCAGCAGUGGGGAAUAUUGGACAAUGGGCGAAAGCCUGAUCCAGCCAUGCCGCGUGUGUGAAGAAGGUCUUCGGAUUGUAAAGCACUUUAAGUUGGGAGGAAGGGCAGUAAGUGAAUACCUUGCUGUUUUGACGUUACCAACAGAAUAAGCACCGGCUAACUUCGUG
rnacentral:rRNA from 1 species